rfam:Nitrospirae bacterium GWC2_57_9 gwc2_scaffold_22024, whole genome shotgun sequence.
CUUUGCUCAGAGCAAACCCCGGGAAACCGGGGGGCGCAGAGCCACGAAGCUAAAUAAACCAGUAACCAUUACCACCGGUUCUGCUGUUUAUAUGCUAGUCGAGCCGCCAAA